UUCAUUGAAUGGGGAAGGCCAAGAUUCUUCAUCUUCUCAGGGUAGUGCAAAGGUCAAAAUCCCCCACCUCCACCCCUUGCAUUCUGGGAUCCUGAGCAUCGAAAGAAAGAUGUAUAAUUCUUUGAUUAAGAAAUCAGAGGUUUUGACUACCAAAUAUUUAAAAUCUACUUUGUUUUGAUAAGGAUGAUACAAAAUAUGACUGAUUUGUUGACCCUAUGCUUUUUCCCACCCUCUUAUUAAGAUUGUGUAUCCAUUUACGACCCUUUAGUAUUUU
rnacentral:lncRNA from 1 species